GCUGGGUGUGGUGGUGCACGCCUGUAUUCCUAGCUACUUGGGAGGCUGAGGCAGGGGAAUUGCUUGAACCCGGGAGGCCAAGGUUGCAGUGAGUUGGGAUCGUACCAUUGCACUCCAGCCUGGGCAACAGAGCAAGACUCUGUCUAAA
ensembl:misc_RNA Metazoa_SRP Metazoan signal recognition particle RNA